CCUACGGGAGGCUGCAGUGAGGAAUCUUGCGCAAUGGGGGAAACCCUGACGCAGCAACGCCGCGUGAGUGAGGAAGGUCUUCGGAUCGUAAAGCUCUGUCGGGUGGAAAGAAAUGUAUGGGGUUAAUAGCCUUCAUACUUGACGGUACCACCAAAGGAAGCACCGGCUAACUCCGUGCCAGCAGCCGCGGUAAUACGGGGGGUGCAAGCGUUGUUCGGAAUUAUUGGGCGUAAAGAGCGUGUAGGCGGCUUGUCAAGUCAGAUGUGAAAGCCCUGGGCUUAACCCAGGAAGUGCAUUUGAAACUGCCAGGCUUGAGUAGGGGAGAGGGAAGUGGAAUUCCUGGUGUAGAGGUGAAAUUCGUAGAUAUCAGGAGGAACACCGGUGGCGAAGGCGACUUCCUGGCCCUAUACUGACGCUGAGACGCGAGAGCGUGGGUAGCAAACAGGAUUAGAUACCCCGGUAGUC
rnacentral:rRNA from 1 species